GGUUCUUGGGGCCCAGUUUUCCCACCCAGAAAAUGACCAGCUUGCACUGGAUCUAAUGGAAUACUGAUGUGAUGACUGGAGCGGAGCAGCCAGCUAAAACCGUGAAGCAUACUGGGAAUGAUUCGUGCAGAGCAUGAAUAUCUUGCAGAGCAGAAAGAUAGGAGUCUGGGUCCCUGAGGCCUGUCAGGAGGUAAUUCUCCAUGGAAUUUUUAUACCUUCUGUGACAUGCUUUAGACAGAGUCACAUCUUUUUGAGAAUUUUUAAACGGCAAAUAGCCUGAGGGAACUAAGAUAGUGUCUUCUUUUGGAAGAGAACAGAUUUGCUCUGAACAGGAUAAUAGAGAUGUUAUUCUCCAGAACAAAUGCUGGCUAGAUUUUUUAGCAGCCUCCUAGAAGAUAAUGAUUUUCCUAAAGUCAGUGUGUCUCAGCUCUGAUACAGACCCACAGCAUCCGUCUGGGAUUACUGCACUGGUCCCAUGGAACUUUGGCAGCAAGAGGACCCAGUGCAAACAAGAACCCCAUGCAGCCCACUCUGCUGUGAGAAAUAAAACUCCCUG
ensembl:lncRNA